GAUGAACGCUAGCGGCAGGCCUAAUACAUGCAAGUCGAACGAGAUUAAGAGGCUUGCUUCUUAUGAAAGUGGCGCACGGGUGCGUAACGCGUAUGCAACCUACCUUAAUCAGGGGGAUAGCCCGAAGAAAUUCGGAUUAAGACCGCAUAAAAACACAGGAUAGCAUUAUCCAAUGUUCAAAUAUUUAUAGGAUUAAGAUGGGCAUGCGUGUCAUUAGCUAGUUGGCGGGGUAACGGCCCACCAAGGCGACGAUGACUAGGGGAUCUGAGAGGAUGACCCCCCACACUGGUACUGAGGCACGGACCAGACUCCUACGGGAGGCAGCAGUAAGGAAUAUUGGUCAAUGGAGGGAACUCUGAACCAGCCAUGCCGCGUGCAGGAAGACAGCCCUCUGGGUCGUAAACUGCUUUUAUUCGGGAAUAAACCUUUCUACGUGUAGGAAGCUGAAUGUACCGAGGGAAUAAGGAUCGGCUAACUCCGUG
rnacentral:rRNA from 1 species